rnacentral:tRNA from 1 species
AGGGCGCUUAGCUCAGUUGGUAGAGCGUCUGCCUUACAAGCAGAAUGUCGGCGGUU